GCGGCUCCGGGCAUGCUCGGCCGCAGAGGCUGCGAGCGGGGCGGGUCGCGCUGUUCCCCGGCCGGCCGGAGCGGCGGCGACAGCGCAGGGCAGCAUGAGGGAGCCGCUCGCGUGGGCCCUGCCACCACGACGGUCACCACGGUGGCGCUUUGAUGCGGCCAGAGCACUAUGUACAGUGUCGAAGACCUGCUGAUCUCCCACGGCUACAAGCUGUCGAGGAAGCUGCCAGCCCCGCGCGAGGAUGAUGGCAAGGGGCGACAGCCCGCGAGGACUGCGGCACCUGCAGGUCCCAGCCUGCUAAACGGCUGCGAGGAUGGCCCCACCGCCCACCCCCAGGGCAAGGCCUCUCCGGGGACUGGCCUCCUGAGCGACCCCAAGAGCCGCCGCCUCGGGCCAAGGGGCCACGGGGCGCGCCCCAGCGCUGCUGCCGCUGCCAGGAUCUCCGAGGCUGGGUUCUACCAUCAGCCGGUGCUCGCGUGGUCCUCGCAGCCCCUGACCGGCCGCAGCCACGCCUACUGGAGGAGAAGAGAGCAGGAGGCCCGGGAGGACCCAGGGGGCCGAGGCCCGGUCCCCAGCCUGCCCGCGCACCCGAGGGAGGGUCCCUGGGAAGUUGGAGGAAGGUCUGAGCACGUGAUCAAGAAGACUGUUUGGGAAGACGAGCUGGGAAUGGCGGGUCCCGCCAGAUGGCAGGACGUCAGCGUUGGAAGCUGGAACCAGCCCCCGAGACUAGGAAGGCAGAUGUCAGACGGUGUUGGCGAGAAGUUGUUUCAGGACCUGUACCCGUUCAUGCUUGGGGAGCACGGGCUGACCUCCCAGAGCAAAGGGAAGUCCCAAUCACUGCCUCGAGUCCUUUCCCCCGAGAGCCUGAGUUGCGUGGAGGUCCCCAUCCCUUUGAGCGAUGGCCAUUUACCAGGUGUCCCUAAAGUGCCACUUCAACCUCCAAAUUGUGCUUCCAAUUUGGAACCCACCAGGAAUCCCAAGAAGGCUGGCACCUCAGCCCCCUUGCCCCAGCCCAGGUUUGGGAGACCCCUCAAGCCCCCAUCUUACGGCUCCCAGCCACACUCCAGAGCCGGAGCAGAAAAUGGCAGCUACACAGACAGCAGGCAGCCGGACCCAGCUGCCCACUCAGCCAGGACGAACAGUGCCAGGCAGGACCUCUACGGGCCUGACCCCGGCCUGGAGCCCCCAGUGUACGUGCCCCCACCCUCGUACAAGUCGCCACCGCAGCCAGCCGCACACCCCUGCCCCGAGGAGGCGGUGCCCAGGCAUGAGGGCGGAGGCCGCCGUGUACCGCAGCAUCCGAUGGAGAAGCCCGCUGCUGGCGGACAGCUUCUUUCUGGCUCCCGGGGAGCUGGGAGUGAGUGGGGGGCCAGCCCAUGCUCUUCUGUGGGCGUCCCCCCACAGCCCCACCCCACCACGGCUUACGACAGCUCCAUCCUGAUAAUUCCCUUCGAUGACCCACGGAUACGACACAUUAAACUACCCCGACCCCAUGGAUUCUGGGAAGAUGUGAAACUGGAUGGUGCGGUCCCUGCCCCUGACCCAAGAGGCCUGCAGCAGGAGGGGGCCGUGUGGCGCCCAUCAGGGAAGGAGAGGGGUCCCGCCCCUGCUGACCCCAGACCCCCGUGGCUGUGGGGCCAGCCCCCCAGGAAUGGAGAAGACGGCAGCUCUCCUGACCAAAGAGACCCCUGCAUUGUCACACAGAGGAAGCAGCCCGACGUGAGCGGCAGCCCACGCGAAUAUCCAGAAAGCCUGGUGUCCUCCCCGAGCCCCCAGGGCGAGAGUUCCUGCGAGAUGCAGACCCAGCUCAGAAAGUUCGAGACAGGGCUGCAGCCCAAGAGAAGCUCAAAGAAAAAAACGAGCGAGACGAUCUUUUGUUUGGUUUCCAUCCCGGUGAAAUCAGAGUGCCAGCUGCCAGGUACAGACACAAACAACAAUGACCUGAAGCAGAGCACAGCGUUGCAAGAACAGAGUGUGCUCAGCUUGUCCUCCACCGACCUGGAGCUCCAGGCACUCACAGGCAGCAUGGCCACGAGGACAGAGCUGCCAAGACCAGACUCGGGGGGCCCGGGACGGGGCCGGCAAGCAGACGACCUCAGAUUCCCCAACCCCACAAAGCACCGUGCGCUCGCGUGGCCCGGCCCGUGGCCUGGGCACCACUUCCGAGACCAGCAAACACAAACCAGCUUCGCUCAUGAACCUCAGAGCCUGCAGCCCCUCCCAGGGGAGAGGCCAGGGGCCUCCCCCAACCCCGUGCUGCCUCCAAGGUGUUUGGACCCCGCACCCUUCGAGGUUCAGAUGCACAUGGCGUUGGCAUCCAGUGACCCGAACCAGAGGCCUGGGGCUCAUUCCCCGAAAAGUCAAGGGUCCCUCAGCCCAUCCAGCACCAGCGCCUUCUCUGGGUCUUCUUGGCAGGGCCCCACACCGAGGGCCAGCCUGGGUCAGCAGGGCUCUGAUGGCCCUGGGCGCCGAGCCAGCCCCGUGUCCAGGGCUGAGGUGAUCAAGGGGGAGACCACGGGCCCCUGCAACAGUAGACAGCUGUUCGGGCAGUUCCUCCUGAAGCCUGUGAGCCGCCGCCCCUGGGACUUGAUCAGCCAGUUAGAAAGUUUCAACAAGGAGCUUCAGGAGGAGGAAGGAAGCAGUGGCAGCAGCAGUGGUGGUAGUGGUAGCGAGGACAGUGACACAGAGCUGCCCUGGGGGAGCUGUGCCCGCCCAGCACCCCAGCGGCCAGGCCUCCUGAAGGACAUAGCGCCUGAGGACCCCAGGACCAGGCCAGGCAGAGUUAAGAGCAAGUCCGAGAGCUGGAGCGAGGAGGGGAGGCCUCGGUCCCCCAGACCCUGGCAGGCAGAAGGCAGAGGUUCUGUGUGGUUGUCGCCCCCCGGGAGCUGGAUUGCCGAAGACGGGGACCGAGAGGUUGAGGACAGGGUGGCCCAGCUGGCAGUCAGCCCAAGGCCUAUGAAACGAGCAAUAUCUUCUGGGUUGAAUGAUGCAAAACCCGAGCCCCCACCCGAUCCAGCGACACGGAAGGAGCCCCCGCCCAGCCAGGAGCUCCCAGGCAGUCUUGGAGCUGUGGAGCUGAGUGCAGCCAGCCCUCCAAAGGCGGGCGGUGGGGAGCAAGGGAGCACAAGGGCCCCCCUCUCUCUUGCCGGCAAAUCCCGAGGCCUGUCUGCACCAGACUUGAGGUCUGUGGGGCUGACGCUGGUGCAGGAGCACAGUACCAGCCAGCUAGCGGGGUCUCCGGGUGAUGCCAAUGCAAUAGAAAUCCCCCCAAAUGAGUCCCUCGAAGCCAGGGCCGCCAGGAUCCUGGGCAUCGAGGUGGCUGUGGAGUCCCUGCUGCCAGGCACCCAGAGGGCAGGGCAGAGCCGGCACCCCGAGCCAGAUGGAAGUGCCCUCAGGCCUGAGUCCCCCAGACAGGAAGCAGUGGCCAGCUUGGCCCAGCCCAAUGAGUCCACCACACCUGCCGACGCCUUCUAUGGCAGGAGGAAGUGCGGCUGGACCAAGAGCCCUCUGUUCGUAGGCGAGAGGGACAGCACCCGGCAGGCUCCCCGGGCCUCUGAGCCCAUGGGUGUGGACGGGGCCGUCCCCAGCAAUGCCCCCGAACCUCCGCCCAGCCCUCCGGAGUCCCAGCCUUUCCUUCCCAAGGACGUGGAGACAAAGCCACCCUUCAGGUCCACCUUGUUCCACUUUAUAGAAAGGACCCCAAACUUGGCAUUCUCAGAAAGGAAGCUCCGAAGCACUUCCAGAGUGAUCGAAAGUUUACAGGAGAAGCUGGUUUCCCCGCCCAGGAAGGCGGACCCCGACCGCCUGAUGAGGAUGAAGGAGGUGAGCUCUGUGUCUCGGAUGAGGCUCCUGACGUCCCGGGGCACGGACUCCGAGGAGGAGCCCAAGGCCGAGAGGGGCCCCGGGGCGUGGCCGGGAGGCCUGGUGGCUCCCAGCACUGGGCAUGAGCUCUCCGACCCCCAAGGUGCUCUGUCGCUGGAAGUAGACGGGCAUCCAGCAGCACGAAGGGAGAACGGCGGCCGGGACUUCUGGUGCCCAGAGAAUCCCAUGGACGGAGGAGCUUGGAGGUUACAGUCCAUGGGGUUGCAAAGAGUCAGACACGACUGAAGCGAAUGAAGCAAGACGCGAAUAACCUGCAUUGCUUGGUUAGCCUAAUGAGAAAAGACGUACCCAGAUUCCUAUGACCCAAGCAGGGUGGAGAGGGUGUGAUGGCACGCCGCUGGAGUGUGGGGCCGCGUCUUUUGCUGAUGGGUGACCCCCCCAAGCUGGCCUCAGCCCAGCCACCUGGGAGGAACCUCACUGGGCCAUCCUUCCCCAUGGCCAGGACACACAUCGACUCCACAGAGUCACUCUGUGGAAAUAAAGCAGUAGUCUGUUGAAAGCAUCUGUUUUUAUAGCACGAAGGGUUAAUACCUAUAUUUAGAAAAGAGUUACAAGGACCCUCCUUAAUGAUGGAUUUAGCCCAGUUGAUAGAGCGUUUGGUGUUAAUCUGGCUAUAUGUGAAAACUCAAAUGUGGGUGGUUUAAUGAAUGAUUUUGAAAGGACCAAGAAUGUCAUAAAUCCCCCUUCGCAUCCCUGUGGCCUGCUGCCCACGCUCACUUUCGGGAGUUUGGGGGACGUAGGCCAUUGCUAGUGUUUCAGCACUUUGAGUUUCCGGGAAAUGUGAACACCUAUGUAUGAUCCAUUUCUCAUCAAUUUGGCCUUCUGCUGCUGAAGUCACUUUAACUAUUAAGUAACUUGCCAUCAGCAAAUGAAAGCGGUAGCUUGUAAGUUUCCAAAAGAUGAAACCUUGUACCAUGAUGGACAAGAGUAUUAUUUAUCGGCAAUGAGACGCUCUGAUCUUUUGCAAACAUGCCAUUGUCUGCUUUGCACUCAGUAUUAUCUAUUUUUAUUUCCUGUAUGGAUGUCUAGAAGUUCUUUAUAUGAGAAAUAAUUGCUGGUAAAAUAGACCAUUUUAACAAAGUAACUAUAUUUCUUUUUACCAAAAAAAAAUGCUAUUUUUCUAUGAUGUAAACAGUUGUUAGGUGGCAGAUUUUUAAGGAAGUUUAUUGUAUUUAAGAGUCUGUAUCCCUUUGUGUGAGAGGAACCCAGAGAGGGUUCGCAUUUGCUUUAAAGCAUAAACCCCUCACCCAUUCACAACUCUUGCUACUCUUAGUUUAUCUUAGAAAGAGAUGUCAAUAGAGACAUUUUUCAGGGUUAAUAAAAUUAACUUUUCACAAAGUUUUUUUUUUUUUUUACAAAUGCAGCUAUAAGGUUAUAUUUGAAAAUAACCCUCUUAGAACCAGCCAACAACAUCCUUACAACAAAUUUUUGCUGCCAUAUUCACUAGAAUUACCAAAAAACCCCCAUAGUUUCAUCUUUGUUCAUCUGCGGGGAUAUGCCCUGAGACCAGAUCCCCCUCCCCUCACCCCCAUUGUCCCUUUAAAGAAAUGUGUAUUUUUAUCUAGAAUGAUCUUUAAUUAGCCUCUGCCUAUUUUCCAAAAGUGCUAGAGACAUUAUAUGUACGCCAUUACAGAAGUAUUAUGAGGCCUAUGUAUUCUGCUGUUUACUAUUGCAUUAAUCUGCACAAAGUUUAUGCAUUUUUUAAAAAAUGUGUUUGUCACUUCUUUCUAAGUCAGGCUUUCUCGUGAGCUAACAUUUCCUCAAUGGUUUCUGUCUCCUCCCUCCCUCCCCCCUUUUCGUCUUUUUUUCCUUCUCUUUCUUUUUCUUUUUCAGAAACCACCUUAUCAGUUUCUAAGCAUUUUGAAUUCCUAAGAUGUGAACUGCUGAGUGGUCUGCCAUUUGGCCCUGAAAUAGCUCUGGGCUCUCAUGGCCUGCUUUUAUCUGUCCCAUAUGAUUGUAUUUCAUCAGAACUUCAUGCAUUUGGACAGUAAUAAACAACACGGAGUCUAA